CCUACGGGAGGCAGCAGUGGGGGAUAUUGCACAAUGGGGGAAACCCUGAUGCAGCGACGCCGCGUGAGUGAUGAAGUAUUUCGGUAUGUAAAACUCUAUCAGCAGGGAAGAAAAUGACGGUACCUGACUAAGAAGCUCCGGCUAAAUACGUGCCAGCAGCCGCGGUAAU
rnacentral:rRNA from 1 species